rnacentral:rRNA from 1 species
UGGCCCAGAUCGUUUACCGUGAAAAAAUUAGAGUGUUCAAAGCGGGCAGAUAUUUUUCCUGCCACCGAAUACAUUAGCAUGGGAUAAUGGAAUAGGACCCUGACCUCCUAUUUUCAGUUGGUUUUGUUUACAGCGAGGUUAUAUCAGGGUAAUGAUUAAUAGGGAUAGUUGGGGGCAUUAAUAUUUAAUUGUCAGAGGUGAAAUUUUUGGAUUUAUGAAAGAUUAAAUUUUGCGAAAGCGUUUGCCAAGGAUGUUUUCAUUAAUCAAGAACGAAAGUUAGGGGAUCGAAGACGAUCAGAUACCGUCGUAGUCUUAACCAUAAACGAUGCCGACCAGCGAUUAGGAGACGUUGAAUACAAAACACCGCCGUUAAUCCUUUCGGGGGUUAAUGGUUGGUGAAUGACUCCCUAGCAGCUUGUGAGAA